rnacentral:lncRNA from 1 species
CAGCUGUUGCCUGUUCAUAUCCAGCCCCUGUAUUGGGGUCAAGAUCUGGCCUGUUCUCAAUGCAGCAAGAUCCAGGCAGAUCACACUGGACUCCCAGCACUGAAUCUGGCUCAAGGGGACAUCAAAUUUGACUGGGUCGUGGGGCUCAGGAGCAUCACUCUCAAAAAUAGUGGUACAGGAAGAGGCGAUGACCCUAAACAGCAUUUGCAGGCAGAUCCCAUGUUAAUAAUAAGGGUCAGGACUCUCUCACUUUUCUGUCUCUCUCUCUGUCUCUCCUCUAGGGCUGACCCCACAUUGGACACCACUGCAUCCAUGUCCAUCACACACCACAGCUGCCUUUUCUUCUGCCUGCUUAUGGGAAAGUCCCCUCCUCUCCUCCGUUUUCUUCUCUUCCUGCCCUAUCACACCGUGCACUUCUCCCUUUCCUUAAAGAACCACCAUCAACUUUAGGAGGAGGGAAAGGGGUGGCUCUGGCAGGAAAAGCCAGAAUCCCCUCUAGCCAGCAGAGAGAGAGGAAUGGCUGCAUGUUUUCUCCCCCAAUCCAAGGCACUAGGUUUUGGCUAGGUUGCAGGUUCCAAGCUGCUCUCCUGCUGUGUCGGUGAGUUCUGGUUAACCUGCAACCUCCUGAUGUGGCCACUGCAGUUCAUCGAGUCUUCAGGGACUCCCCAUGGCCUGGAGUACUUUGCCUUGCUUACACGGGAGAGGAGAAUGGAUUUAUAGAGAACAUCAUCUAAAUCCAACUUGACCAUUGUGUGGCCACACUUGCUAGAUUGCUUUAGUCUAAAUCUAGCAUUGUAGAAAGACGGGGGAGCUUGGAGCUGCACAAACCCAGGUCUGGAACUGGCUCCUUACCUUGAAAGGUGAAUAAUCCUGGCAGGACUCUUAGCCUUCCUGGGCCUCAGUUUCUUUAUCUGUUUCUUGGGAAGGAGGAUCUCUGCUGGUUGGUUGGGUGAUGUGGGGGCUGUGUGAAAACAACUUGUCAAUACAAGCCAAAACAGGAAUAUUUCUCCACAGAGUAUGAAGGUCAAAUGAGAGAAUACAUUUAAAUUAAACGGAAAAUUAAAAUGGCAAAAAAGGCAAAGCUGUAUUGAAAGUUCUGAGCUUCUCUAUAAGGAGCUUUUUGACUAUGUAAGAAUCCUAUACUCGUUCCCCCUAAAUAUAAAAAAAAAAGUUGAAGGAGGCAGAAGGGAGAGUGAUGCACGAUGGGCGAGGACUUCACCUGCUGUUGCUGGCUUUGAGGAUGGAGGAAGGAGGCCACAAACCCAGAAGCUGGAGCCCCUAGAAGCUAGAAAACGCAGGGACCUGAUUCAUCCCUUGAGCCUCCAGAAGGGACAUAGCCCCACCAGCACCUUGACUUUAGCCCAGUGAGAUCCUCUUAGGACUUUUGGCAACCAGAACUAUAAGACGGAAAUGGAAGCCACUGAGUCUGUAGCUGUUUGCUGCAGCAGCAAUAGAAAACUAAUGCAGAGCCCAAGAAAUCACUGGUGAUGAGAUGGGGAAGUGGGCUCAGGAGGUCUGGAUCUGUGAUGAGAUGGGGAAAGUGGGGGAGGUCUGGAUCUGUGAUGAGAUGGGGAAAGUGGGCUCAGGAGGUCUGGAUCUGUGAUGAGAUGGGGGAAGUGGGCUCAGGAGGUCUGGAUCUGAGUUGGGGAUCUGGAGUGGAAGGGGAAUUCAUUUGUUCAUUGUCUAUCCUUUUGCAUUGAUUCAGUUUUUUUUCCAUAUAUAUAUAUGUGAAUUUCACAAUAAAAGUUUUUUCCAAAAUAAAAGAAACAAAAGGGGCUUUUUGCAACUCAAUUCCUAUCUAUGUCUGAGUCCACUUGUAUUGAAUGAGUCUUUCUGCUAACGUCCUUAUAUUUGGGUGACAAUCUGAAUGUCAGUGACCAAUCAGAGCAGAGGCAGACCUUGGAGUGGGCAGGGCAUCCUGAGGGCCCUGAUUCCUGCCAUGAGGCAUAACCCUUUAGGUGCCAGACCAUGGGGAGGUCCAGGGGUUGCAGGGGAGGGCUGUGCAUCUGCAAUGACUCUCAGGGGGCUCCCGGUGGUGGCAAUUGGUGAAUCUGCACGGUGGUGUUUCAAUAUUGUCACAGCCCUGCUGUCUCUCAUGCUCUCAAAAAGCAUUUCUCUUACCUGUGACAGACUUCCUAUACCUAACAGCUUGCAAAAAUGUUCCAGGUUAACGAGAAUAAUCUCUCGGAGCCAUACCUACCUGCUUGGGGUCUCAGUUUCCCCAACUGUCUCCAGACAAGUUAGGCUAGAAGGCCCCUGAGCCUCAGCCCCUCUAUACCCCUCCUGUCACCCAGACCUGAUCUGGGGCUUGCACCCUGGGUGCAGCAUGACAGGGGUGGGCAGGGGCUGGCUCUGGGCCAGAGGACCCUUUCUGAUGGACUUCAGCUGUUGGCCUUCCAGGGGAGACUGAUCAACCUCACAAGAGUCAUACGGUGAGUAGCGGUGGGCAAAUCCAUCCCCCUCAUCUUAGAUUUAUGGGGAGACAGAGAGAAAGAGGAGACACUCCAGGAAGACCUGCAGGUGGGAGUACCAGGUUGAAACCAAGGACACCUUCCUGGAGGAGCUGCUGUUUGAGCCAGCUCUGAGAACAGGUGGGGACAGGACUGGAGAGGAGAAGGGUGUCCCCUAUGAGCAAAGACUGGCCACCACCCAAUCUAACACCCCCACAGGGCCCCUGUGGCAUCCCUGUCCAGUCCCUGUCACCACCCAGUUUUUCCCUCUGGACCCAGGAAUUCAAAGUAAGCAAGGAGGUCCGCUGCUCCAGUUGGCUGCAUAUAAUUACAACCUUGAGCCCAAGCAGCACUUUGGGUCCUGGUUUGGGACCAUGAAGCGGCUCGGUGAGACUGAGAGGUAAGGCCAGGGCAGGAAUUGGGAUAGUGGGAUUGAACUCUCCCUGGGGGCCAGCCUCAGAAAGCCUGUGGCCAUGGCCUCUUGGUCAACAUCAGAUCCUGUGGUCUGGCAAUGCCUGGGGUACCCAGACCUCACUCUGGACAGGCCCUGGGAGGGGGCCCUGGUGAGAUUCCUGGCAGCCUCACAGCCACUCUUCUGUCCAUAGCUACAACAUGUCAUGCCAGCUGGAGGCUCCAUCCCAGUUGGCUGGGAGCACAAAGGCCAGGAAGAUAGACAUCACCCACCACAGGAGCCAGUCGGGUCCUGAACCAGGGCGGGCAGAGGUUGGCUGCCUUGGGAUAUGGGUGGGCUCAGGGAGUCAGACAGCAAGGGACUAGCCUCCCAUCCUACUGCUGACCAGCCCUGUGACUGGGGAGAGUCACCUUACUUCUCUGGGCCUCAGUUUCCCCCUCUGUGGAGUGACACUAAAUGAUCUCUCUGGAGACUGGGAUCAAUAGGGCACUGGUGAUUGACCAGGCACUCAGCACAUGCCUGGAGCACACGGUGCAGGGCUGUGGUGGGGAGGUGGCCUGAGUUCCUGGGGAGUCACCCAUGUGUGCCUGCCGUUCUGACCAGCCACCAGGCACUCAGGGCAGAGCCCACUACCAGCAGCAGCUCACACCCCGAUACCAGCUCAGAGGCGGCCCCUAGCUCAGCAGCAGGGACAUCACGGACACUUUAAGCUGCUACUAGGGUGGCUUCUCCAGCUCCCACGUGGAGAGGGGUCCCAGCUGAGUCCCACUCACGUGGAGUCUCAUGCCCAUGAAA